UACGAAGGGGGCUAGCGUUGUUCGGAAUCACUGGGCGUAAAGCGCUCGUAGGCGGAUCUUUAAGUCAGGGGUGAAAUCCCGAGGCUCAACCUCGGAACUGCCUUUGAUACUGGGGAUCUCGAGUCCGGGAGAGGUGAGUGGAAUUCCGAGUGUAGAGGUGAAAUUCGUAGAUAUUCGGAAGAACACCAGUGGCGAAGGCGGCUCACUGGACUGGUAUUGACGCUGAGGUGCGAAAGCGUGGGGAGCAAACAGG
rnacentral:rRNA from 1 species